GUGCUUUGAGGACGGAACGGGCAGCCGUCGCCCCUCAUUGAGGUUAGGAGAUGUGGGAGUGUCACCCCACCAAAACAC
rnacentral:ncRNA from 12 species